CCUAAAGCAAUUGGGAGCAGCAAAUAUAGAAUGGCAGUAACAGUCAAAUACAAUUCCACACAACUUUUGCAGGAGACUAGAUUUAAUUCGCUUUACAGGACAGUUGGCCAAACAAUGACAUUUAUCAUAAAAAUAUCCUCUCCAUUAAGUAAAUCUCAUUUUUCUUUCCAAAAGAAAAUUCAACAUAUAGCCUGAGCGUUCAGUAGCUCAUUUUCAUCAUCCGCCCACACAGAUUUUUCUUAACAGAACAAAACAAUUCAGUUAAAAAAAAAAAAAAUGCAGACCCAUGUAAUGACACAGUCAUAUUGCUUUUGGCUAUGUUAACUUAAAACCAUACCAAUUUAGCUACCUUUCCUUAGGUUUUAUUAGAAAAAAGCAGCAGAUCAACAUUACAAUUCAGAAUCUAAUCUAAAUAUGCACUUGACAAUGAAGCACAUCUGAAUAUGGAGUGAAAAAGGAUUCCAGAAAACCUUCAGUUUUGCCAAUCUCCUGCUACCCACACCAUGCAUCUUCUCUUCUGGCUUUUCGAUGACCGAAAUCAAACAGGGAACAAAAGAUUUAUGGCUAUGAAAACAAAACCAUAGUACAGUAGUAUGAGUUCUGGGUGCUAGGUGUAUUCCAUCAAGUUAACUUACGGACUUCAAAACGUACUUAAAUCUUCUGUUUGGCCAUGAAAGUCCAUGAAAGCUGACUGACCCAAAUACAAACUGAAAUGUCAGGUCUGGACAAAAAAAAAAAAAGUUAGACAGCAUGUUAACCUCCAGUUUUCAGACAGUAAUAAAAAGAUACAAUUCCAACAGCCAAAAAAUUAAAAUAGAAAUGUUGAUCUGACAUUCAAGAGCUAAGUUUAUUCUUACGCUCAUUUUCUUUGCGCCCAAAAUUAUUUGAGACCCACCAGGGAAAAAAGAAGUAUUUAUGGACUAUCACACAAUUGAAAAAAAAAGAGAAUUGCGUUUUGACUUGGUUAUCAUCCCCCACUGAGGUAUAAAAUCUACAUAUAAAUUUGAUACUUCACUAUAACAAAUUGUACUUUUCAUAGUUCUGAUUUAGUUUCCAUUCAACCCUGUUUACUUUUUUUUUUUUUCCUUAAACCACAGAAUUCUUAUUUCAUGUUAUUGAAUCCAUUUCCCAGCUCUCUGCUUAUUUGUAGAUCUGUAUUUAGUAGUCUGGUUACCACUUCUAACCAGGAAAAAAAAAAAGUCUUGGAACUUUCUUCCUUACAACAGCACUUUCAGCAGAGGUUACUGAUGUGCAAGCAAACUACGACGAUAUGCAGCUCCUCAGAAAGAAUAUUUCAUUGAUUAUGUUUCCACUGUCCAAAUGUUCUCUACGUGAUUUGCUGGAAGAAACUCUUUCAAUCUUGUAAACAUCAGUGGGCGCAGUCUCACUAGUAUAUGUGGUAGUUUCACAUCCUUUUACAGGAAGGCUGGUUCACAGCUACAGAAAAGCUGCAGGAGUUCUAACAGGUGGCAAACUGUGGAUUCUGCAGAGAAGUUUCCUUCUGUUGCUACUUAACAGUGUAGCCAAAAUAUUAGCCGAGGUAGCCCAGUCAAUCCUUUAUUUUCUUUAGAACCUCUCAGAAUAUUUCUGGAAGGGUGACGUUGCGAAGUAGCCACUGCUGAGAGCGGCUGCCGUUGCAGUCUCUGAUGCUGGGUACCUGGCUGUCUUCUUCGGUGGCUUUGUCCAGGCACUGAUUACUGUUCACAUGCAGCAGGGUUAAUUUCACUGGAUCAUAUUCCCAAAGCUGAUUUCCUUUUAGAUGGUGGCACUUGAGCAUUGUUACCGGGCCAUUAAGUUUGGAGACAUCUAAACACAAAUCAUCUGUUCGAAUUUCUUUGUUGGCUGUAUAUGAGAAAACCUGAUUUCCACCCAUUCCGUGGCAGUUAAAGAUCCCAACUUUUUCAUUUUCUUUUCUUGCCAUGUUAUCCAGACAUUGAUUUGUUUCCACGUUUCUUAUCUCCCCCAAAGAAAAAUAAUGGCGUGGAAUUUGGGAAUCAGGAUAAACAUUCUCCAGGUACCAGGAGAAAGGCUUACACUGAAGCUUGCGUCUCAAUCCAAGUCGUGAUGAUAUGUCCCCAUAGUCAACUUUAGUAACUCCUGGGGAAAUGAUAUAAAAAAAGUUUUUGAAUUCAUCCAUCCAGACUUCUGCAAGCCGUCUGUUAUUUUUGUUGAUUAUCUGCCCUGUACCUCCUGGAAAAGUAUAUGGUGUUGCUUUUCUGAACACAUGCCCGACAUGUGAACAAGUUACAAUUUCCAAAGUGCCACCACACUGCCAAAUCCUGAAAGAAAUUUCUAAGUUUUCUCCACCCCAAAUAUCCAUUCCAGCAUCAUACGUUCCAAUUUCCUGAAAGUAAUCUCUGUCUAUUGAAAAAAGACCUCCUGCCAUUGUAGGCGUCCUAACAGGAAGAGUUCGAUCUCCUUUCCGUCGAUCCAUCUCUCUCUGAGGAACCGGAUACCAACGAAAAUUCAACUUCCAGUUGAAACCACCAUAGGUCAUAUCAGAACCUGCCAUGUAUUCAAAGGUGUCAUCACUAAUAACAUCAAUGAUGGGACACACGACUGUUCUCCUGUCAGCUUUGAUCCUUGCCAGCAGAGGUUCAAGCCAGCCUACUGUACAUUCACAAUGAGCAUCUAAGAAGGUGAUGACCUGGCCUUUGGAAGCGGCAGCCCCCUUUAAUCUAGCUCUGAUCAAACCAGAGCGCUGUUCCAUUCGAAUCACAUGGACAGGUACUUUUAAUUUUUUUACAUAGCUCUCCAGUGGUCUUUUCAGAAAGUCUCUUUCACUGGCAUCAUCAACAAGUACAAUUUCUUCCAGCAUGUGUCGUGGUGACCGGUUUAUCACACUAUGAACAGUUCGUAGAAGUGUGCUCCAAGCCUCAUUGUGAAAAACAAUGACAACGCUUGUUGUGGGAAGGUUGUCUGCAUACACCUUUGUUUUACAACCUUCUAACCGGACAUCAGGUAAAGAUCUGUUGAGUGCAAUCAUUUCACUUGCCAUUAAGUUAAACUGGUUUAUUUUAAACAUUUCUUUCAUUUUUUCUUGCUCCUCUUUUGGAAUGACCACAGGCUUCCCCAUCUCUCCAGGUCCUUCAUGUGGUUUUUGUAUGGGUUCUGGAACAUCUCCAGCAGGCAGCCCUCGUUCUUUCUUCUCAUCACAUUUGUUGCAUUCACUGAAGUAGAGCAGUAGAAACAUAUCCAGAAGGACCCAAACCAAAGAGGUGGCAAGGACCACCUUGCAAUAUGCAAAUUUUUUCAUGGCACUUUAAGUCAAAUACAAAAAUAAAAAAAAGUAUAAAUAAAAAUAUCAACAGGUUGUUUUAAUCCAGUUUGAGAGACCACGUUCUGUAUCUCCUCUGCAGGUUUACAGCCAUCUGGAUGGUCCACAAGCACUGGUGGUGAAAUCCCACUGCACUGCAGUCAAGCGCUUGCGGUAGGAACCACGGAGUGGCAAAGUGAUCUAGGUCAUUCUGACAUGAACACAGAACCACAGGUCUUCCAUCCAAAAGGUCUUAAGGCUGUCCUCAGUGACUCUCGGGGCCGGCGGGAGACGAAGGGCGGCGGCGAGGCUGCCCCGGCCCCGCUGUCACCGGCCGCCCGGGGCAGAGUCCCGCGGGGCGAAUCCUCGGGCGACGCCGGCGGCGAGUCGAUUCGCGGCCGGCCUCGCCGCCGUCGCGCGGCCGGGCGCUGCCGGCGGCGGCCGCUACGGCCGGGGCACCGCCGGGCACGGAGCGCCGCCGGCCGCCGCCGCCUCGGCCCCCUCUUCCUGCGGCCGCCGGCGGCCGCGCUCGGGGCGCAGUCACGCGGAGCACCGCGGAGAAGCCGCCGCUUCGCUCAGCACCUCGGAGCCCGCCGCCGCGCUCCCGCUCCGCAUCCCCCGUCCUCCGCGCACCGGCGGCGGCGCCUCCGGCCGCGCGUCUGCCGGCCGCUCUCCCGCGCGCGCCGCUGCCGCCCGAGCCCCGCUCAGCGCCGCGUCUCCAUCGCCAGCGCGGGGGCGGGCGCAGGGAAAGGGGCGGGGGCGGGGGCGGCCCCGGCCGCCCGCGCGCCCGCGCCCCCUAGGUGGAGCCCGAGCGCCCGCCCCGCCCCGCCGGAGCCCGGAUGUGCCGCGGGGAUGCCGGCGGGGCGUUCGGCUCUCCCCGGGCACCCGCGUUGUGUGGAGGUGCGAGGGCGGAGGUGUCUCCCGGCGACUUUGCCUCCGCCGUUUGGUGAGCGCUGCCCGCCUGCGCGUCGGCAGUGGGUGUGCCAGCUGUCACCUGGGGAUCCGUCAGCAAAUGAAAGCAUCCCACUGCAUCCACGGCGAGCACCGAGUACCCCCCCCCUUGGGGACGGGGCCCACUGCAGCAUCGAUGCGUUAGAUGUGCAUCCUGUAAUGAGUGCUUUUAGAGCGUGAGUGCUUAAUAAAGCUAAAAAGCCGCUCCAGAAACCAAAUGAGGAAAAUUCUUUAACGCUUGAAUUCUGGGAGCUGCUUUAUCUUUCCCUACUCUUAAAUGCAGCUUUGUUAAUGUUACAGAUCAAAGUUUAUAAGCUCUCUUUGCAAAAUGUAACUAGCAAACAAAGUUUUCGUGAAGGAAAUAAGUAACUUGAACACAGGUGUCCCUCCCUGGACAGCCUGUGCCACCGCCUCGCUGCUCUUUCUGAGAAGAGAUUUCUCCAAUUACCCAACCUGAACCCAUCCUGGCACAACUUACGGCCGUUACCUUUUAUCCUAUCACUGCUACCUGGGAGAAGAGGCUGACCUCCACCUCUUCACAACCUCCCUUCAGGUAGUUGUAGAGAGCUAUAAGGUCUCCGCUGAGCCUCCUGUUCUCCAGACUGAACAAUCCCAGUUCCCUCAGCAGCUCUCCGUAAGGCCUGUGCUCCAGAUCCCUCACAGUUUCGUUGCCCUUCUCUGAACACACUCCAGGGCCUCGCCGUCUUUCUUGUAGUGAGGGGCCCAAAAUGAAACACGGCACUGAAGGUGCAGCCUCACCAGUGCUGAGUACAGAGGGACGAUCACCUCGCUGCUCCUGCUGGCUGCACUAUUCCUGACACAACCCAGGAUGCCAUUGGCCUUCUUGGCCAGCUGGCCAACAGCAGGAAGGAAAAAAAUAAAAGGUGUUCAGACAAAUCAG
rnacentral:lncRNA from 1 species